UACGUAGGGUGCGAGCGUUGUCCGGAAUUAUUGGGCGUAAAGAGCUCGUAGGCGGUGUGUCACGUCGUUCGUGAAAACCUGCAGCUUAACUGUGGGCGUGCGGUCGAUACGGGCAUCACUGGAGUUCGGCAGGGGAGACUGGAAUUCCUGGUGUAGCGGUGAAAUGCGCAGAUAUCAGGAGGAACACCAAUGGCGAAGGCAGCACUCUGGGACGUGACUGACGCUGAGACGCGAAAGCGUGGGGGAGCAAACAGG
rnacentral:rRNA from 1 species